GACGAACGCUGGCGGCGUGCUUAACACAUGCAAGUCGAGCGGUAAGGCCCUUUCGGGGGUACACGAGCGGCGAACGGGUGAGUAACACGUGGGUGACCUGCCCUCAGCUCUGGGAUAAGCCUGGGAAACCGGGUCUAAUACUGGAUAUGACUCCAUGACGCAUGUUGUGGGGUGGAAAGCCUUGUGCGGCUGAGGAUGGGCCCGCGGCCUAUCAGCUUGUUGGUGGGGUGANGGCCUACCAAGGCGACGACGGGUAGCCGGCCUGGGAGGGCGACCGGCCACACUGGGACUGAGACACGGCCCAGACUCCUACGGGAGGCAGCAGUGGGGAAUCUUGCGCAAUGGGCGAAAGCCUGACGCAGCGACGCCGCGUGAGGAUGACGGCCUGG
rnacentral:rRNA from 1 species